CUUAGACCUUUUGAAAAUCUGCUUAAAGGAGCCAUUGCCACUCUGAAUACCAUGGAACUGGAGGGUGCUUUCCUGCCUCCUCUGAGCCAAUGUUUCCCCAGUUCACAGAGGAAUAUUUUUCAUGUUCUUCUGGUGUUGUGAUGUUUCUGUCGGAGUCCACAGAUGUGAGUCCUGUUCCACCUUGUCUGAAGUGCAUGGUACAGCUUGAAGGAGCAACUCCUCCUUCCUUCCUGUCCAUUCACCUUCUCUGUGACUUUCUGGGACGGAGCAAGGAGGUCUCUAAGGAAAUAUUCCAUC